UUUAUUUAUUUGAAUUAGGACAGUGCAUAUUAAUCAAUGAGUCAGCAAAAGCUUCAACAUAAAUAUGCCAGAGUUAGCACAAGAGCUAAAUUUCAUCCAUUCCAGACAGAUCAAGCAGCU